rnacentral:tRNA from 1 species
GUCCCAGUGGCCGAGUGGUUAAGGCGACACCCUGCUAAGGUGUUGGGUUUUACCUGCGCAGGUUCGAAUCCUGUCUGUGACG